AGAUUGAACGCUGGCGGCAUGCUUUACACAUGCAAGUCGUGCGGCAGCGCGGGGGCAACCCUGGCGGCGAGCGGCGAACGGGUGAGGAAUACAUCGGAACGUACCCCGGAGUGGGGGAUAACCCAGCGAAAGUUGGACUAAUACCGCAUAUGCUCUGAGGAGGAAAGCAGGGGACUUCGCAAGAGGCCUUGCGCUCUGGGAGCGGCCGAUGUCCGAUUAGCUAGUUGGUGGGGUAAUGGCUCACCAAGGCGACGAUCGGUAGCUGGUCUGAGAGGAUGAUCAGCCACACUGGGACUGAGACACGGCCCAGACUCCUACGGAGGCAGCAGUGGGGAAUUUGGACAAUGGGGGCAACCCUGAUCCAGCCAUGCCGCGUGCGGGAAGAAGGCC
rnacentral:rRNA from 1 species